rnacentral:rRNA from 1 species
CUCAGAAUCAACGCUGGCGGCGUGCCUAACACAUGCAAGUCGAACGCGAAAGNGGCGCAAKGCAUGAGUAGAGUGGCAAACGGGUGAGUAACACGUGGGUGACCUGCCUUCGAGUGGGGGAUAACGUCCCGAAAGGGACGCUAAUACCGCAUGACAUCCUGCCUUUGAACAGGCGGAGAUCAAAGCCGGGGAUCGCAAGACCUGGCGCUUGAAGAGGGGCCCGCGCCUGAUUAGCUAGUUGGUGAGGUAAYGGCUCACCAAGGCKACGAUCAGUAUCCGGCCUGAGAGGGCGGACGGACACACNNUGGGACUGAGACACGGCCCAGACUCCUA